CUACGUGCCAGCAGCCGCGGUAAUACGUAGGUCCCGAGCGUUGUCCGGAUUUAUUGGGCGUAAAGCGAGCGCAGGCGGUUAGAUAAGUCUGAAGUUAAAGGCUGUGGCUUAACCAUAGUACGCUUUGGAAACUGUUUAACUUGAGUGCAGAAGGGGAGAGUGGAAUUCCAUGUGUAGCGGUGAAAUGCGUAGAUAUAUGGAGGAACACCAGUGGCGAAGGCGACUCUCUGGUCUGUAACUGACGCUGAGGCUCGAAAGCGUGGGUAGCAAACAGGAUUAGAUACCCUGGUAGUCCACGCCGUAAACGAUGAGUGCUAAGUGUUGGAGGGUUUCCGCCCUUCUGUGCCGGAGUUAACGCAAUAAGUACCCCGCCUGGGGAGUACGACCGCAAGGUUGAAACUCAAAGGAAUUGACGGGGGCCCGCACAAGCGGUGGAGUAUGUGGUUUAAUUCGACGCAACGCGAAGAACCUUACCAGGUCUUGACAUUGAUGGACAGAACUAGAGAUAG
rnacentral:rRNA from 1 species